AUGAACGCUGGCGGCGUGCCUAAUACAUGCAAGUCGAGUGAACAGACGAGGAGCUUGCUCCUCUGACGUUAGCGGCGGACGGGUGAGUAACACGUGGAUAACCUACCUAUAAGACUGGGAUAACUUCGGGAAACCGGAGCUAAUACCGGAUAAUAUAUUGAACCGCAUGGUUCAAUAGUGAAAGACGGUUUUGCUGUCACUUAUAGAUGGAUCCGCGCCGCAUUAGCUAGUUGGUAAGGUAACGGCUUACCAAGGCGACGAUGCGUAGCCGACCUGAGAGGGUGAUCGGCCACACUGGAACUGAGACACGGUCCAGACUCCUACGGGAGGCAGCAGUAGGGAAUCUUCCGCAAUGGGCGAAAGCCUGACGGAGCAACGCCGCGUGAGUGAUGAAGGUCUUCGGAUCGUAAAACUCUGUUAUUAGGGAAGAACAAAUGUGUAAGUAACUAUGCACGUCUUGACGGUACCUAAUCAGAAAGCCACGGCGAACUACGU
rnacentral:rRNA from 1 species